UGAAUGUCAGAGGCAGAGGAGAAAACAAAGCUCCGGCAGAACAGGGCCGAUGGCGAUGACUUCUGCUCAUGCUGUGGAUUCUGAUCAAGUGCUUGAGAGAAAAUGUAAAGCUCUUCUAGAUCAGCGCCAUCUAGAGACAUACUACAGACUACAGCGCUUGAAAGACAUGCUGUUAUAUCAGCAUGCCACGUUACUGAGGGGAAAAGUUCAAAGACAAGAGAUGAAGCUCCAUGAUUCCAGAGAAGGACAUAGAGAUCAGAAGCUUGUCAGCCUUCAGAGGGCCACCAGACCAACCCUCACACACGAUGAUGCAUACCUGAGGUGUCUGCCUAAAACAUGCUACUAUCUGGUUCUGGAACUGCAGAAACAGCUAAAACGACUCGGGUGUCUUCAGAGCAGCAGGGAACAGGAGGUCUUCAGGGUUUGGACAGAACAACACAGAAGCACAUGUCAACUUGAGAAGCAACUACAAGCAGUGGAUGCCAGUCUCAGUAAGAGUGGGUGGAGGAGGGGUGAACGCUUUCCAACAGCAGGGCAAACAGAGUUGGGGACAAGACGAAACUGAGCUCAUGUUUCCUGAGGGAAGUGCCAAAUCACAGCGUCUCUGAUCCCAGUAAGCAGCAGUGAGACAAACACACCUGCAGCAGUCACACACAAACAUACAUAACC
rnacentral:lncRNA from 1 species